GCAGGCCGGCGCGCUCGCCCUAACUUAACUCCGUAAGCUUGGGAGGGCAAAGUUCGCGACCGUACAUUAUGGAACUGUGAAUUAUUUUUACAACAAAUUUUAAAGUCGGACCAAUUUACGAGAGAUUACCGCGUUGCAAAAUCAUCAUUGGCUAACAAUAAACUGUAAUAAUGUAUUGAUAAAUACAGGCCUAAUGAAUGCGUCUAUAACUAAACAAUCUAUAAAUAAAAUACAAUGCAAAGGUACAGAAUGUGACCAGAAUUAAAGGAUGCAACUAGUAAUGAUAAAUUUCCUAAUAAUGUUCGACGUGGUGUUUAUAUUCUUUUUGUUCUUAAUCGCGGUCACAUGCGUUAUGAAUUACAUGCCUGGUCGCAGCAAGAAGCAGGAAGCUACAGAGGAUGAAGUGGAGGAUGACGUCAUUCCUCCACCUCCGCUGUUUGCUGGAGAAGAUAUCGAGAGGCAAGCUUCAACCAGUAGAGAUACGUAUGUGGUUAUAUCACCUCCGAUCGACAAUCACAAAACCAAAGAUGGAUGUCCUAUUCACGUGGUCUAGCGUAAGCACUGAUGAAUCAACGUAGGAGUUUAUUCUAAAGAAGCCUUAUAAGAAUGUAGUGUCGAAGAAAAUAAUAGUAGUCAUUUUAUACCAAUUAGUCGAAUUAAAGAAAUAAUCUUGUUGCAAGAAAAAAUGGAACAUUUUGGGACACAAGUGUUAGUAACACAAUGAAACGGUUAGUAUUCUGAGGAUCGAGGGUAACCAAGCAUAGUUCUGAGUUAGUAACAAUACAUAAGAAAAUCCUUUGUUUGAAAAUAUUUAUAGAGAGGUAUUUACAUUAGAAGAAUACAAAAAUUGUUUCGAGACUAGAAUAUAUUUUAUUUAUCCACGAAGCUUGGCGCAGCGUUGGCAAUUGUUUUGUUAUUUCCAUUGUAGUUAUAGCUGCUUCGAAAGUCGGUGUUAACCUAUUGUAAAUUUAAUUCAAGUGACAGUAUUGACAUUUCAAACAUUCUCCUUGAUGAGACAGAGACAACAAGAUGUGUUAGUAAAAUGUCACGCCAGUCUC